rfam:Pseudomonas aeruginosa PAO1, complete genome.
CGACCUGCCGUCGCCUCUUGACGAAACUCGCUAGUCGUUAGCAUGACCGGCGGGUUUCGUCU